rnacentral:lncRNA from 1 species
GGUUGAAUCUGUUUCAUGUAAGUUUUUAUAUGUAUUUUUUUUUAAUUUAAGUUUCUAUAAUGUGAGGGUAAUGGUGUCCUACUGCUGCCUUGCAGGAGCUUGACGCAGUCUUACUGAAAAUAUUUUAAAUGGACUUUUGCUCUGCCUUUCGUAUGGUUUCUUACAUCACUGCUCAAAACAAACAAAUAGUGUUCUCUGCGUCUAUCCGUCUAUCUUCGUCAAUUGAACUUUUUUGAAGCUAGCAUGAUGUUGGUCUACAUGGAUUAUUUUGUUGUCGUGCAUAUGACUAUAUACAUCCCAACUCUCAAGGUAUGGUACAUUGGUAUGUUAGUAAUAAAUGAUUAUGUUUAUCUUUAGUUGCAGAUUUUCUAGACGCAAAUUAAGUAAUGCAAGCGUAAUGAUCAACAUUUAAUGAAAUGUGCAUAGUUAGGUGCAUGCUCCUAGAGAACAAACCUCUGUCUAGAGACCAAAUACAAUCAACCAUUUACCAACAAGAACAAAUAAAUUAAGCAAUUGAGUGACCUUUAGCAUCCUAAAGAUCAAUCUUGGAACCAUCUAUCCAUGUAAACCUAAAAGAUUGUGAUACCAUGCUGCUAUGAUAGACUAUUAAAAAAAAAAAACAACAUGCUGCUAUGAGCACAAUCUGCGCGCGUACCAUAAAAACCCUGUUAGUUAUACGUAAUUCCUUGAUCUGUUGUCCAUCUGCAACCUAGAAAAACAAUACCAAAUCAGAAAUUUUGUUGUCAAGUCUUUUUGGACAGAAACGCAUAGAUACCUUACUAUUGCUCUGCCAUAAUUCACUCCCAAUCAAGCAGUAAAUUUAUGAAGCAG